CGUAUCCCCUCUUUCAAGUAUGUAUGGGUUCUAAGGUAAUUGGGGUUUUCAACCCCUAAUUCUCAAUUAAAUAUGGAACAACAACAAAACCCAUCACAAACAACUAGUUAAAUAGACAAAUAAUCAACACCCAUGCAUUAAUCACCACCUAAUCAAGCAUAACCCCAAGAAAUAAAUUUUGUUACUCAUGGAAAUAAAAAAAAAGAUAUAUCCCAUAAUUAGCAUUCAACUCAUCCACG
rnacentral:lncRNA from 1 species